UGGGUAUUUUCAAAGGGAUCUAUUACGUAGUAAUGAAAGUAAAAUAAAAUACAUGCAAAGAUAGAGAUCUGAGCUUUUCCUGCCCAUAAUUUUACUCUGGCAUGGUUGAGCUAGGAUAAAAUCCACUGGGUUGUCUGGUAAAGCUUAUUGGGCAGCCUGCCCUGGUUUCUUUCACCAUGCUGAGUUCUGUCUGGGUUGGAUGCUAAAACAAGAGCCUCAGACUUCCAACUUGAAGCAGAUUUUGGUUACAAGUCCUCCCAGGCCUGUGGCUCGUGUGGAAUGACUUAUCCUGGAAUUUAGAGUUGAAGAUAAUCCUGAUGCUUCAAAGAGAAGAGUUGGAACACAGUCCUUUUUUCUAAACAGAGGAAUUGUUGAAUAUGCGACUGAACCUCUGACUUAACUAAUUAGUUAAUUUGGAGCAGAGUUUGAACACAGUCCUUUUUCUAAACAGAGGAAUUGUUGAAUAUGCAACUGGUCCUCUGACUUAACUAAUUAUUUAAUUUGGAAGUUAUAGGUUUUUUAUUACUUGAGGAGCAGCUUUCUCUGAACAAAUACAGUGUCCCCUGGGGUGUCCAAAUUGUGACAGAAAAGUAGCGCCAGCUUGAAACUAGCUAGUCAUCACAUAGUGGCAUCAUGUGAAUGAAGAAUCCCCCAAAUCUGUGACCCUCUUCUAUCCUUAUGAACUAAUUCAAUAAAUAAAUGAGCACUUUCUCAGUUCCCAAACUGAGAGCAGUUUAAAAAAAUAAUGAGAGCACAGAUAUCUAUUUAGAGAGAUGGCGAGAUAGAGGAGAGAGCAAGUUGCACACCACGAAACAAAGGGAAAGAUAAGAAGAGAGAGUGUGUCACUACUUCCCCGUGGCAGAAUCACAAUCUUUUUUGGAUGUCAUGUUGAAAAGAUUCCCAAUUCGUAGUUCUGUGAGCUAAAGCAGAUGGAUGCUCCAUGUUGGUACAAAUUCCUAUUUGAAGCAGUGUGGUUGCAAAGAUGGGGUUUGGGUCAUUUGAUUUUCUCCGAAAAACAAUCUUGUGUAACUGUUAAAAGAAUUUAUAAUACCCAAUGCAAUGUAUCAUCCGUGAUGCUUCUUCAAAAAUGUUAAAUAAAUGCUGAAACCAGUGUUUCAAAUAUAUUUGUCCAGAUUAAUAAACAGGGUUACUUUGGUUAAUAUAUGUUUGGGAAAUGCUGAAUUUAACAUAUAUAGACAGGUUUGUUUUUCCCCUGCAGGACUUCUCAGAGCCUUUACUAUUGCCCUGUGAUUCUCUAAGAAGGGAUAAUACUAUACCACUUGAUCUUAGAGUGCUUUUUCCAUAAAGUAUCUGCUUCACACUACUGUGCUUCCAAACAACCUUCGGAAAAUGCUGAAAUAUUAUCACUUAGGUAAAGAAGGGUUUAACUUUUUCACCCGAUUUUGGAUCAUUAUGGCUAAGCCUCCA
rnacentral:lncRNA from 10 species